rnacentral:rRNA from 1 species
CCUACGGGUGGCAGCAGUGGGGAAUAUUGGACAAUGGGGGCAACCCUGAUCCAGCCAUGCCGCGUGUGUGAAGAAGGCCCUCGGGUUGUAAAGCACUUUCAGUGAGGAAGAACGCCUGGUGGUUAAUACCCAUCAGGAAAGACAUCACUCACAGAAGAAGCACCGGCUAACUCCGUGCCAGCAGCCGCGGUAAUACGGAGGGUGCGAGCGUUAAUCGGAAUUACUGGGCGUAAAGCGCGCGUAGGUGGCUUGAUAAGCCGGUUGUGAAAGCCCCGGGCUCAACCUGGGAACGGCAUCCGGAACUGUCAAGCUAGAGUGCAGGAGAGGAAGGUAGAAUUCCCGGUGUAGCGGUGAAAUGCGUAGAGAUCGGGAGGAAUACCAGUGGCGAAGGCGGCCUUCUGGACUGACACUGACACUGAGGUGCGAAAGCGUGGGUAGCAAACAGGAUUAGAUACCCGGGUAGUA